CAAUAGCGUAUAUUAAAGUUGUUGCAGUUAAAAAGCUCGUAGUUGGACCUUGGACCUGGACAGGUGGUCCGCCUCACGGCGAGUACUGUCUUGCUGGGUCUUUCCUCUUGGUGAUCUGUUGUUUCGGCAGCAGGGAACCAGGACCUUUACUUUGAAAAAAUUAGAGUGUUCAAAGCAGGCUCGACGCCGGAAUAUAUUAGCAUGGAAUAAUAAAAUAGGACGUGCGGUUCUAUUUUGUUGGUUUUUGGAAUCGCCGUAAUGAUUAAUAGGGACAGUCGGGGGCAUUAGUACUCACAUGCUAGAGGUGAAAUUCUUGGAUUUUGUGAAGACUAACUUCUGCGAAAGCAUUUGCCAAGGAUGUUUUCAUUAA
rnacentral:rRNA from 1 species